UCCGUAGGGACCAAGCGUUGUUCGGAUUUACUGGGCGUAAAGGGCGCGUCGGCGGCAAUUCAAGUCAUCUGUGCAAUCUCCGGGCUUAACCCGGAACGGUCAGGUGAUACUGUUUUGCUAGAGUGCGGAAGGGGCAAUCGGAAUUCUCGGUGUAGCGGUGAAAUGCGUAGAUAUCGAGAGGAACACCAGAGGUGAAGACGGGUUGCUGGGCCGACACUGACGCUGACAGCGCGAAAGCCAGGGGAGCAAACGGG
rnacentral:rRNA from 1 species